AAUUGUAUAUUUAAAGAGUAUAGCCGGGCGGCUAUACGUUCUAAAUACAUUCGACUAUUUUAACAUUAUAGCUGCCCGGCUAUACUAUUUAAAUAUUAAUAU
rnacentral:miRNA from 1 species